rfam:Salmo salar isolate Sally breed double haploid chromosome ssa14, whole genome shotgun sequence.
UGCAUUCACUACUGUAAGUCGCUCUGGAUAAGAGGAUCUGCUAAAUGACUAAAA